GAUGAACGCUAGCGGCAGGCCUAAUACAUGCAAGUCGAGGGGUAGAAGAGGCUUGCUUCUUUGAGACCGGCGCACGGGUGCGUAACGCGUAUGCAACCUACCUUCAUCUGGGGGAUAGCCCGGAGAAAUCCGGAUUAAUACCGCAUAAAAUCACAGGAUGGCAUUAUCCAAUGAUCAAACAUUUAUGGGAUGGAGAUGGGCAUGCGUGUCAUUAGCUAGUUGGCGGGGUAACGGCCCACCAAGGCGACGAUGACUAGGGGAUCUGAGAGGAUGGCCCCCCACACUGAUACUGAGACACGGACCAGACUCCUACGGGAGGCAGCAGUAAGGAAUAUUGGUCAAUGGAGGCAACUCUGAACCAGCCAUGCCGCGUGCAGGAAGACUGCCCUAUGGGUUGUAAACUGCUUUUAUUCGGGAAUAAACCUUAUUACGUGUAAUAAGAUGAAUGUACCGAAGGAAUAAGGAUCGGCUAACUCCGUGCCAGCAGCCGCGGUAAAAC
rnacentral:rRNA from 1 species